rnacentral:rRNA from 1 species
UACGUAGGUGGCAAGCGUUGUCCGGAAUUAUUGGGCGUAAAGCGCGCGCAGGCGGUCCUUUAAGUCUGAUGUGAAAGCCCACGGCUCAACCGUGGAGGGUCAUUGGAAACUGGGGGACUUGAGUGCAGAAGAGGAGAGUGGAAUUCCACGUGUAGCGGUGAAAUGCGUAGAGAUGUGGAGGAACACCAGUGGCGAAGGCAGCUCUCUGGGACGGUACUGACGCUGAGGCGCGAAAGCGUGGGGAGCAAACAGG